GACGAACGCUGGCGGCGUGCUUAACACAUGCAAGUCGAACGGAGCUGCAAACGGGUGAGGGACGCGUGAGUAACUGCACCCCUCUCUGGGAUAACAGUUGGAAACGGCUACUAAUACCGGAUAUUGGGGGAUGAGUGGCGGCCUAUCAGCUUGUUGGUGGGGUAGUGGCCUACCAAGGAGACGACGGGUAGCCGGCCUGAGAGGGGGACCGGCCACAUUGGGCUGAGAUACGGCCCAGACUCCUACGGGAGGCAGCAGUGGGGAAUAUUGCACAAUGGGGGGAACCCUGAUGCAGCAACGCCGCGUGCGGGAUGACGGCCUUCGGGUUGUAAACCGCUUUCGGCAAGGACGCGGUAGUGGCAGAAGAAGCACCGGCUAACUACGUGCCAGCAGCCGCGGUAAUUC
rnacentral:rRNA from 1 species